rnacentral:rRNA from 1 species
GACGGAGGGUGCUAGCGUUGUUCGGAAUCACUGGGCGUAAAGGGUGCGUAGGCGGCAUCGCAAGUCAUGGGUGAAAGCCCGGGGCUCAACCCCGGAAUUGCCUGUGAAACUGCGGCGCUCGAGGCCGAGAGAGGGGGGUGGAAUACCCAGUGUAGAGGUGAAACUCGUAGAUAUUGGGUGGAACACCAGUGGCGAAAGCGGCCCCCUGGCUCGGUCCUGACGCUGAGGCACGAAAGCGUGGGGAGCAAACAGG